rnacentral:rRNA from 1 species
AAGCUCGUAGUUGAAUUUCGGGAUCAAUUUGUCGGUCGUGCCUCGGUACGUACUGGCAUUAUUGGUUUCUACCUUCUGAAGAACCUUGAUGUCAUUAAUUUGGUGUCUUGGGGAAUCAGGACUGCUACUUUGAAAAAAUUAGAGUGUUUAAAGCAGGCAUACGCUUGAAUACAUUAGCAUGGAAUAAUGAAAUAGGACGUUUGAUUCUAUUUUGUUGGUUUCUAGGAUCGACGUAAUGAUUAAUAGGGAUAGUUGGGGGCAUUAGUAUUCAAUUGUCAGAGGUGAAAUUCUUGGAUUUAUUGAAGACUAACUACUGCGAAAGCAUUUGCCAAGGAUGUUUUCAUUAAUCAAGAACGAAAGUUAGGGGAUCGAAGACGAUCAGAUACCGUCGUAGUCUUAACCAUAAACUAUGCCGACUAGGGAUCGGAUGAUGUUAUUUUUAAUGACUCAUUCGGCGCCUUACGGGAAACCAAAGUGUUUGGGUUCCGGGGGGAGUAUGGUCGCAAGGCUGAAACUUAAAGGAAUUGACGGAAGGGCACCACCAGGGGUGGAGCCUGCGGCUUAAUUUGACUCAACACGGAGAAA